UACGUAGGGUGCGAGCGUUAAUCGGAAUUACUGGGCGUAAAGCGUGCGCAGGCGGUCUGUUAAGACAGGUGUGAAAUCCCCGGGCUUAACCUGGGAAUGGCGCUUGUUACUGGCAGACUAGAGUGCGUCAGAGGGGGGUGGAAUUCCACGUGUAGCAGUGAAAUGCGUAGAGAUGUGGAGGAACACCGAUGGCGAAGGCAGCCCCCUGGGAUGACACUGACGCUCAUACACGAAAGCGUGGGGAGCAAACAGG
rnacentral:rRNA from 1 species